GAUGAACGCUGGCGGCGUGCCUAAUACAUGCAAGUCGAGCGAACGGACGAGAAGCUUGCUUCUCUGAUGUUAGCGGCGGACGGGUGAGUAACACGUGGAUAACCUACCUAUAAGACUGGGAUAACUUCGGGAAACCUGAACUAAUACCGGAUGAUAUUUUGAACCGCAUGGUUCAAAAGUGAAAGACGGUCUUGCUGUCACUUAUAGAUGGAUCCGCGCUGCAUUAGCUAGUUGGUAAGGUAACGGCUUACCAAGGCAACGAUGCAUAGCCGACCUGAGAGGGUGAUCGGCCACACUGGAACUGAGACACGGUCCAGACUCCUACGGGAGGCAGCAGUAGGGAAUCUUCCGCAAUGGGCGAAAGCCUGACGGAGCAACGCCGCGUGAGUGAUGAAGGUCUUCGGAUCGUAAAACUCUGUUAUUAGGGAAGAACAUAUGUGUAAGUAACUGUGCACAUCUUGACGGUACCUAAUCAGAAAGCCACGGCUAACUACGUG
rnacentral:rRNA from 1 species